rnacentral:rRNA from 1 species
UAUUCGAUACUUGGUGUGAAUUGCAGAAUUCAGUGAAUCAUCGAAUCUUUGAACGCCCCUAUGCGCUCCUUGGUAUUCCGAGGAGCAUGCCUGUUUGAGUGUCAUGAAAUUCUCAACCUUUGUUACUUUUUUUGUUUCAAAGAGUCUGGAAGUGGAGGUUGCUGGCUUUUGUUGAAAGAGUCGGCUCCUCUGAAAUACAUUAGUGGGACCCAUCGUUGAUUAGCUCCCUGGUGUGAUAGUUAUCUACGCCGUGGCUCAUCACUAUAUUGUGUGGUUCUAGUUUUCUACCUGAGUCUGACAGGGGCUGAUCUUUGCUUAUUUUGUACCUCAUAUCAGGUAGCAGACUGACCACGCUGAACUUAAGCAUAUCAAUAAGCGGAGGAAA